UAUUUGUCUCCCCUCAUCACCUCCGAACCGUUUAAAGGCCGAAAACGGCACAUGACUUUGAUGGUGCACUCGGCCGGGUCCGCCAUCUUCAGCUGUGAGGAGGAGGAGGAGGAGGAUGAUGAUGGUGAGCGUCCUCAGCUCGACGCAGCACUGAUUCUGGAUGAUUCAGGGAUCUGUUGGAUCCUGAUGGAUGUGUGAUGCCAGCGGAUGUCAGAGAUGCUUUUGCAGAGCUGGAGGCUGAAAUCUGUGGCUAAAGAAAGAUGUGACAAAGGAAUAUUCCAGAUUCAGAACAUAAAGUUAAGUUCUAUUACCGCAUGAAUGAAAAUAAGUGGGAGUAUUAUAUGCCGACUUCCUGCCAACCAUAACGUCAUGCCCACAGAUGUCGUUGGUGGAAAUUACUCAUCACAAGUGCUGCAUGGACACAUAUACCCUGCCGGGUGUGGCAGGAGGACACAUGCAUGGAAAUAUUUCAAAUCCCUAUGACUAUGAGCAAUAGUAGCCAUGCUUGCAUUAGAAAAUACUAAUAAUAAUUACAGCAUUUUUAGAGUGGUUGCUAUAUAAAGAGAUAUAUAAAUUUUUGUGGUUGGAAAUAUGUUUCUCAGUUGCACUACUGUAUUGACACAGAUGUCCCGGCAGCUGCUACUUCAAAACACAUUUAAUUAGUCUGAGAUUGGGGAGUUAUUAGGUUACAGAAGACAGAGGUACAUCAAUAAACACUGUGCCAAAUAAAGUUAACAUGAAAGACAUGCAGCCCAUUUUAUUUCUGUAACAUGAUGGAUUUUUAAGUAAAAUAUCUUUUUUUUUUUUUUUUUUUUUUUGGGGGGGGGG